rnacentral:rRNA from 1 species
UACGUAGGGGGCAAGCGUUGUCCGGACUUACUGGGCGUAAAGCGUGUGCAGGCGGGCCGCUAUGUGCCGUGUGAAAGCUCUCAGCUUAUCUGGGAGAGGUCGCGGUAGACAGGCAGCCUGGAGGCUCGGAGAGGUCAGUGGAAUUCUCGGUGUAGUGGUGAAAUGCGUAGAUAUCGGGAGGAACACCAGUGGCGAAGGCGACUACCUGGCCUGUUCUUGACGCUGAGGCGCGAAAGCUAGGGGAGCAAACGGG